AUGUGGGCCAUGCAGCCGUACUCACGGGCGUGGGCGGCCACGGGGACAGCGUUGGCCGGGGUUGAGGGUGUCCUCGCUGCUCUUGGACGCCACCAGCGCCGCCGUGAACUGCCCAAAAGUCCGGCCGUACACGUUGACCUGCAGGUUGUCGAGCGCGUCGCGGAGCAGGCCAGCGGUGCCGUCGUAAUGCGCAGGCAGUGGUUGAACCGCGCGCUGCGCGAGCAGUCGGUGUCGGCGGCGUCAUCAGCCUCGAGCUCCACCAAGCACCAGAUCGCCGAUCUUGGACUCUGUGCUGGCGGCAUGGUCGACGGCGAUCCUUUGGCGAGCAUCGCACAUCGCAGGCCUUGGAUCACCGAGGCGGGGGAGGCCUCGGAGCUCCGUGGGUCCACGCCAAGGGAGCGCAACCAGUGGUCGUAG
rnacentral:rRNA from 1 species